rnacentral:rRNA from 1 species
UACGUAGGGUGCGAGCGUUAAUCGGAUUUACUGGGCGUAAAGCGUGCGCAGGCGGAUUGUUAAGCAAGAUGUGAAAUCCCCGGGCUUAACCUGGGAAUGGCAUUUUGAACUGGCAGUCUAGAGUGUGUCAGAGGGGGGUGGAAUUCCACGUGUAGCGGUGAAAUGCGUAGAUAUGUGGAGGAACUCCGGUGGCGAAGGCGGCCCCCUGGGUUAUCCCUGACGCUCAUGUGCGAAAGCGUGGGUAGCAAUCAGU